rnacentral:lncRNA from 1 species
GAACAUAGGACUAAUUGGGCUUGUUGAAAGAAUUUUUAACAGAUAAACAUUAAUUUUUAUUAAGCACAGACCGAAUUGAAAAAGGCUAAACUUACAUGUUAAAAUAAUUUGGCAAUCUAACUGCAGAUUCAAAAUUUCUGAAAAUGUAAAUAAAUUAAAAUGUAGGCAGUGUUUUACCAUCUGUAAUGAAUUAGCAUUCCAUUUUUACCAGCUGCUGCUGGGGUUUUUGAAGCUGACUCAGGAUCUGAGCACCCUGGUGGGUUUCUGCUGAUAAAUAUAAGAACCUGUAGUUUAAAACUGGCAGAGCUGGACUGGGGAUUAGAAAAGUCACUGCAACUUUAAGCAGCUAUUUGCUUUAGUGCCUUUAAUUAAUGAAAAACAACUAGUUAAAAGGUUGGCUAAUUCCUUUAUGAUAUACACACACGUACGAAAAUUUACGGAUGGCUUGAAUGUGUUGGGUUUUUGUUUUGUUUUUGGCAAGGGACCAUCGGCUCUGAA